rnacentral:rRNA from 1 species
UACAGGGGGUGCAAACGUUGCUCGGAAUCAUUGGGCGUAAAGCGCACGUAGGCGGUUCGUUAUGUCGGAUGUGAAAGCCCUUGGCUUAACUGAGGAAGUGCACCCGAAACUGGCGAGCUUGAGUACGAAAAGAGGAUCGCGGAAUUCCCGGUGUAGAGGUGAAAUUCGUAGAUAUCGGGAGGAACACCGGUGGCGAAGGCGCAUCCUGGACCGGCAUUGACGCUGAGGCGCGAAAGCCAGGGGAGCAAACGGG